rnacentral:rRNA from 1 species
UUGAACGCUGGCGGCAUGCCUUACACAUGCAAGUCGAACGGCAGCACGGACUUCGGUCUGGUGGCGAGUGGCGAACGGGUGAGUAAUAUAUCGGAACGUACCUUUCAGUGGGGGAUAACGUAGCGAAAGUUACGCUAAUACCGCAUAUUCUGUGAGCAGGAAAGCAGGGGAUCGCAAAGACCUUGCGCUGAUUGAGCGGCCGAUAUCAGAUUAGCUAGUUGGUGAGGUAAAGGCUCACCAAGGCGACGACCUGUAGCGGGUCUGAGAGGAUGAUCCGCCACACUGGAACUGAGACACGGUCCAGACUCCUACGGGAGGCAGCAGUGGGGAAUUUUGGACAAUGGGGGCAACCCUGAUCCAGCCAUGCCGCGUGAGUGAAGAAGGCCUUCGGGUUGUAAAGCUCUUUCGGCCGGGAAGAAAUCGCAUUGGUUAAUACCCAGUGUGGAUGACGGUACCGGAAUAAGAAGCACCGGCUAACUACGUGCCAGCAGCCGCGGUAAUACGUAGGGUGCGAGCGUUAAUCGGAAUUACUGGGCGUAAAGCGUGCGCAGGCGGUUUUGUAAGACAGGCGUGAAUCCCCGGGCUCAACCUGGGAACUGCGUUUGUGACUGCAAGGAGCUAGAGUAUGGCAGAGGGGGUGGAAUUCCACGUGUAGCAGGAAAUGCGUAGAGAUGUGGGAGGAACACCGAUGGCGAAGGCAGCCCCCUGGGCCAAUACUGACGCUCAUGCACGAAAAGCGUGGUAGCAAACAGGAUUAGAUACCCUGGUAGUCCACGCCCUAAACGAUGUCAACUAGGUGUUGGGUGGGUAAAACCAUUUAGUACCGGAGCUAACGCGUGAAGUUAAACCGCCUGGGGAGUACGGCCGCAAGGUUAAAACUCAAAGGAAUUGACGGGGACCCGCACAAGCGGUGGAUGAUGUGGAUUAAUUCGAUGCAACGCGAAAAACCUUACCUACCCUUGACAUGUCCAGAAGCCCGAAGAGAUUUGGGUGUGCCCGAGAGGGAGCUGGAACACAGGUGCUGCAUGGCUGUCGUCAGCUCGUGUCGUGAGAUGUUGGGUUAAGUCCCGCAACGAGCGCAACCCUUGUCGUUAAUUGCCAUCAUUUAGUUGGGCACUUUAACGAGACUGCCGGUGACAAACCGGAGGAAGGUGGGGAUGACGUCAAGUCCUCAUGGCCCUUAUGGGUAGGGCUUCACACGUCACACAAUGGUCGGUACAGAGGGUUGCCAAGCCGCGAGGUGGAGCCAAUCCCAGAAAGCCGAUCGUAGUCCGGAUCGUAGGCUGCAACUCGCCUGCGUGAAGUCGGAAUCGCUAGUAAUCGCGGAUCAGCAUGUCGCGGUGAAUACGUUCCCGGGUCUUGUACACACCGCCCGUCACACCAUGGGAGCGGGUUCCGCCAGAAGUAGGUAGCCUAACCGCAAGGGGGGCGCUUACCACGGCGGGGUUCGUGACUGGGGUG